rnacentral:rRNA from 1 species
GCGGUAACACAGAGAGCUUGCUCUCGGGUGACGAGCGGCGGACGGGUGAGUAAUGUCUGGGAAACUGCCUGAUGGAGGGGGAUAACUACUGGAAACGGUAGCUAAUACCGCAUAACGUCGCAAGACCAAAGUGGGGGACCUUCGGGCCUCAUGCCAUCAGAUGUGCCCAGAUGGGAUUAGCUAGUAGGUGGGGUAAUGGCUCACCUAGGCGACGAUCCCUAGCUGGUCUGAGAGGAUGACCAGCCACACUGGAACUGAGACACGGUCCAGACUCCUACGGGAGGCAGCAGUGGGGAAUAUUGCACAAUGGGCGCAAGCCUGAUGCAGCCAUGCCGCGUGUAUGAAGAAGGCCUUCGGGUUGUAAAGUACUUUCAGCGAGGAGGAAGGCGUUAAGGUUAAUAACCUUGGCGAUUGACGUUACUCGCAGAAGAAGCACCGGCUAACUCCGUGCCAGCAGCCGCGGUAAUACGGAGGGUGCAAGCGUUAAUCGGAAUUACUGGGCGUAAAGCGCACGCAGGCGGUCUGUCAAGUCGGAUGUGAAAUCCCCGGGCUCAACCUGGGAACUGCAUUCGAAACUGGCAGGCUAGAGUCUUGUAGAGGGGGGUAGAAUUCCAGGUGUAGCGGUGAAAUGCGUAGAGAUCUGGAGGAAUACCGGUGGCGAAGGCGGCCCCCUGGACAAAGACUGACGCUCAGGUGCGAAAGCGUGGGGAGCAAACAGGAUUAGAUACCCUGGUAGUCCACGCCGUAAACGAUGUCGACUUGGAGGUUGUGCCCUUGAGGCGUGGCUUCCGGAGCUAACGCGUUAAGUCGACCGCCUGGGGAGUACGGCCGCAAGGUUAAAACUCAAAUGAAUUGACGGGGGCCCGCACAAGCGGUGGAGCAUGUGGUUUAAUUCGAUGCAACGCGAAGAACCUUACCUACUCUUGACAUCCAGAGAACUUAGCAGAGAUGCUUUGGUGCCUUCGGGAACUCUGAGACAGGUGCUGCAUGGCUGUCGUCAGCUCGUGUUGUGAAAUGUUGGGUUAAGUCCCGCAACGAGCGCAACCCUUAUCCUUUGUUGCCAGCGGUCCGGCCGGGAACUCAAAGGAGACUGCCAGUGAUAAACUGGNAGGAAGGUGGGGAUGACGUCAAGUCAUCAUGGNCCCUUACGAGUAGGGCUACACACGUGCUACAAUGGCAUAUACAAAGAGAAGCGACCUCGCGAGAGCAAGCGGACCUCAUAAAGUAUGUCGUAGUCCGGAUUGGAGUCUGCAACUCGACUCCAUGAAGUCGGAAUCGCUAGUAAUCGUAGAUCAGAAUGCUACGGUGAAUACGUUCCCGGGCCUUGUACACACCGCCCGUCACACCAUGGGAGUGGGUUGCUAAAAGAAGUAGGUAGCUUAACC